rnacentral:rRNA from 1 species
GACGAACGCUGGCGGCGUGCUUAACACAUGCAAGUCGAACGGAAAGGCCCUGCUUUUGUGGGGUGCUCGAGUGGCGAACGGGUGAGUAACACGUGAGUAACCUGCCCUUGACUUUGGGAUAACUUCAGGAAACUGGGGCUAAUACCGGAUAGGAGCUCCUGCUGCAUGGUGGGGGUUGGAAAGUUUCGGCGGUUGGGGAUGGACUCGCGGCUUAUCAGCUUGUUGGUGGGGUAGUGGCUUACCAAGGCUUUGACGGGUAGCCGGCCUGAGAGGGUGACCGGCCACAUUGGGCCUGAGAUACGGCCCAGACUCCUACGGGAGGCAGCAGUGGGGAAUAUUGCACAAUGGGCGGAAGCCUGAUGCAGCAACGCCGCGUGCGGGAUGACGGCCUUCGGGUUGUAAACCGCUUUCGCCUGUGACGAAGCGUGAGUGACGGUAAUGGGUAAAGAAGCACCGACUAACUACGUG